UACGGGGGGGGUAAGCGUUGUUCGGAAUUACUGGGCGUCAAGGGCUCGUAGGCGGCCAACUAAGUCAGACGUGAAAUCCCUCAGCUUAACUGGGGAACUGCGUCUGAUACUGGAUGGCUUGGAUUCGGGAGAGGAAUGCGGAAUUCCAGGUGUAGCGGUGAAAUGCGUAGAUAUCUGGAGGAACACCGGUGGCGAAGGCGGCAUUCUGGACCGAUAUUGACGCUGAGGAGCGAAAGCCAGGGGAGCAAACGGG
rnacentral:rRNA from 1 species